UACGUAGGGUGCGAGCGUUGUCCGGAAUUAUUGGGCGUAAAGAGCUCGUAGGCGGUCUGUCGCGUCUGCUGUGAAAACUCAGGGCUUAACCCUGAGCUUGCAGUGGGUACGGGCAGACUAGAGUGCGGUAGGGGAGACUGGAAUUCCUGGUGUAGCGGUGAAAUGCGCAGAUAUCAGGAGGAACACCGGUGGCGAAGGCGGGUCUCUGGGCCGUAACUGACGCUGGAGGAGCGAAAGCAUGGGGAGCGAACAGG
rnacentral:rRNA from 1 species